rnacentral:rRNA from 1 species
GUCUGAGGCAGCAACACCGCGUGGAGGAAGAAGGCUUUCGGGUUGUAAACUCCUUUUCUGGGGGAUGAAGUGACACGGGAGUGACAUUGACAGUACCCCAGGAAUAAGUCUCGGCUAACUACGUGCCAGCAGCCGCGGUAAAACGUAGGAGGCAAGCGUUAUCCGGAAUUACUGGGCGUAAAGCGCAUGCAGGCGGCAGGCAAAGUCGGACGUGAAAGCUCCUGGCUCAACUGGGAGAGGCCGUUCGGGACUAGCCAGCUAGAGGGUGAUAGAGGCGAGUGGAAUUCCCGGUGUAGUGGUGAAAUGCGUAGAUAUCGGGAGGAACACCAGAGGCGAAGGCGGCUCGCUGGGUCACACCUGACGCUAAGAUGCGAAACGCAGGGGAGGGAACGGGAUUAGAAACCCCGGUAUUCCUGGCUGUAAACGAUGUCAACUAGGCGUAGGCGGUUAAGAAUCCGUCUGUGCUGAAGCCAACGCGAUAAGUUGACCGCCUGGGGAGUACGGCCGCAAGGCU